AUGUGGAGGUUUUCAUUGUGUUUUUUAACCCAGCCGCUCCAGCGCUGCUGUGUCAGACCGAAGGCCUUCCCUCAGGCUGUAUUGCCCUCCUGCAGUGACCUUCUGACACACACAAGCAAGGCGAGCCCUGUCCUGCCGUGCUCUGAGGAAGGCAGAUGCUUCAGAAGGGGAUCCAGACUCCAGGCAGUUCCAUGUUCUUGGUGGGGAAAAGGCCAAGGCUGUGGCUCACAUCUGUGCUCCCCAGGAAGAGUGUCAGUUCUCUUCUGGAACAGCCCUGAGGAGCCAUAUGCAUCACAGCCCGCAGUCACAGCAGCAGGGCUCCCCAGGAACACUCAUUACAAGGUCAGCCAUGGUGCAUGUACAGAGGCAAUUUCACUCUGCUCUGGAGAAGCUGCGAUCACUUGGAGAUGGUAA
rnacentral:lncRNA from 1 species